rnacentral:rRNA from 1 species
UACGGGGGGGGCAAGCGUUGUUCGGAAUUACUGGGCGUAAAGGGCUCGUAGGCGGCCAACUAAGUCGGAUGUGAAAUCCCCAGGCUCAACCUGGGAACUGCAUCCGAUACUGGAUGGCUUGAAUCCGGGAGGGGGAUGCAGAAUUCCAGGUGUAGCGGUGAAAUGCGUAGAUAUCUGGAGGAAUACCGGUGGCGAAGGCGGCAUCCUGGACCGGCAUUGACGCUGAGGCGCGAAAGCCAGGGGAGCAAACGGG